UCCUGACUGACCGAUAGUGAACCAGUACCGUGAGGGAAAGGCGAAAAGAACCCCGGCGAGGGGAGUGAAAAAGAACCUGAAACCGUGUACGUACAAGCAGUGGGAGCACGCUUAGGCGUGUGACUGCGUACCUUUUGUAUAAUGGGUCAGCGACUUAUAUUCUGUAGCAAGGUUAACCGAAUAGGGGAGCCGAAGGGAAACCGAGUCUUAACUGGGCGUUAAGUUGCAGGGUAUAGACCCGAAACCCGGUGAUCUAGCCAUGGGCAGGUUGAAGGUUGGGUAACACUAACUGGAGGACCGAACCGACUAAUGUUGAAAAAUUAGCGGAUGACUUGUGGCUGGGGGUGAAAGGCCAAUCAAACCGGGAGAUAGCUGGUUCUCCCCGAAAGCUAUUUAGGUAGCGCCUCGUGAAUUCAUCUCCGGGGGUAGAGCACUGUUUCGGCAAGGGGGUCAUCCCGACUUACCAACCCGAUGCAAACUGCGAAUACCGGAGAAUGUUAUCACGGGAGACACACGGCGGGUGCUAACGUCCGUCGUGAAGAGGGAAACAACCCAGACCGCCAGCUAAGGUCCCAAAGUCAUGGUUAAGUGGGAAACGAUGUGGGAAGGCCCAGACAGCCAGGAUGUUGGCUUAGAAGCAGCCAUCAUUUAAAGAAAGCGUAAUAGCUCACUGGUCGAGUCGGCCUGCGCGGAAGAUGUAACGGGGCUAAACCAUGCACCGAAGCUGCGGCAGCGACGCUUAUGCGUUGUUGGGUAGGGGAGCGUUCUGUAAGCCUGCGAAGGUGUGCUGUGAGGCAUGCUGGAGGUAUCAGAAGUGCGAAUGCUGACAUAAGUAACGAUAAAGCGGGUGAAAAGCCCGCUCGCCGGAAGACCAAGGGUUCCUGUCCAACGUUAAUCGGGGCAGGGUGAGUCGACCCCUAAGGCGAGGCCGAAAGGCGUAGUCGAUGGGAAACAGGUUAAUAUUCCUGUACUUGGUGUUACUGCGAAGGGGGGACGGAGAAGGCUAUGUUGGCCGGGCGACGGUUGUCCCGGUUUAAGCGUGUAGGCUGGUUUUCCAGGCAAAUCCGGAAAAUCAAGGCUGAGGCGUGAUGACGAGGCACUACGGUGCUGAAGCAACAAAUGCCCUGCUUCCAGGAAAAGCCUCUAAGCAUCAGGUAACAUCAAAUCGUACCCCAAACCGACACAGGUGGUCAGGUAGAGAAUACCAAGGCGCUUGAGAGAACUCGGGUGAAGGAACUAGGCAAAAUGGUGCCGUAACUUCGGGAGAAGGCACGCUGAUAUGUAGGUGAAGUCCCUCGCGGAUGGAGCUGAAAUCAGUCGAAGAUACCAGCUGGCUGCAACUGUUUAUUAAAAACACAGCACUGUGCAAACACGAAAGUGGACGUAUACGGUGUGACGCCUGCCCGGUGCCGGAAGGUUAAUUGAUGGGGUCAGCGCAAGCGAAGCUCUUGAUCGAAGCCCCGGUAAACGGCGGCCGUAACUAUAACGGUCCUAAGGUAGCGAAAUUCCUUGUCGGGUAAGUUCCGACCUGCACGAAUGGCGUAAUGAUGGCCAGGCUGUCUCCACCCGAGACUCAGUGAAAUUGAACUCGCUGUGAAGAUGCAGUGUACCCGCGGCAAGACGGAAAGACCCCGUGAACCUUUACUAUAGCUUGACACUGAACAUUGAGCCUUGAUGUGUAGGAUAGGUGGGAGGCUUUGAAGUGUGGACGCCAGUCUGCAUGGAGUCGACCUUGAAAUACCACCCUUUAAUGUUUGAUGUUCUAACGUGGACCCGUGAUCCGGGUUGCGGACAGUGUCUGGUGGGUAGUUUGACUGGGGCGGUCUCCUCCUAAAGAGUAACGGAGGAGCACGAAGGUUGGCUAAUCCUGGUCGGACAUCAGGAGGUUAGUGCAAUG
rnacentral:rRNA from 1 species